rnacentral:rRNA from 1 species
ACGAACGCUGGUGGCAUGCCUAACACAUGCAAGUCGAACGAGACCUUCGGGUCUAGUGGCGCACGGGUGCGUAACGCGUGGGAACCUGCCCUUAGGUUCGGAAUAACUCCCCGAAAGGGGUGCUAAUACCGGAUAAUGUCUUCGGACCAAAGAUUUAUCGCCUUUGGAUGGGCCCGCGUUGGAUUAGCUAGUUGGUAGGGUAAAAGCCUACCAAGGCGACGAUCCAUAGCUGGUCUGAGAGGAUGAUCAGCCACACUGGGACUGAGACACGGCCCAGACUCCUACGGGAGGCAGCAGUGGGGAAUAUUGGACAAUGGGCGAAAGCCUGAUCCAGCAAUGCCGCGUGAGUGAUGAAGGCCUUAGGGUUGUAAAGCUCUUUUACCCGGGAUGAUAAUGACAGUACCGGGAGAAUAAGCUCCGGCUAACUCCGUG